AGGGGGCGAUCCCCACACAUCAAAACCCUAAAUCUUCACCAAACUUGCAAAUUGAAGGCUCAAUCCAAGUCAAAAUCGAAAAUCAAGCAUAGAUUAUUGAUCCCCAUUGAAAGGGGAGUCAUAAGGUAUGUAAAUUUUAUGAAAAAUCUCUAUUUGACUCUGACAAGCUAGGUAGGAGCUUGGAAAUGAACGGGUCAAAUGGAUACAAGUUCAAGUAUGAAGCUCGCAAGGAUGCAAGGUAAGUAUAACUUACACUAGUCAUAUAUUUUAGAAUGUUCUUUUGUCGUAUUGACUACGAAUAAGACAAAUGGUAAUUUAGUCACACGUUGACAAUAAUCGUUAGUUUUAAAAGACGCUUUCCCGCGUAAGACAUAAAGAGCCGAAAGUGGUAAUAAACGGUUUAUAAAUAAAAUGAGCAUACGGUGUUAAAAGGAGCGAGUCAUGUAGAUGAGAUGAUAAUAAAUAUUAUCUCGCAAAGAUAAACGGUCAAUUCGGCCAAACGGGUCAAAAGGUGUAGACAUCACCUUUUGACAAUAUCGACUAAUGAUUCUGGUGUCGAGUUAUAUGUUUACAGGAGUAGAUAUCCAAUGGAUACUCGCAUCGCUCU
rnacentral:lncRNA from 1 species